rnacentral:rRNA from 1 species
CCUGGUUGAUCCUGCCAGUAGUCAUAUGCUUGUUUCAAGGACUAAGCCAUGCAAGUCUCAGAGUAAAUGGAUCACAGUAGGUCUGCAGACAGCUCAUUAAAUCAGCUUCAAUCUACGCCGAGAAACUGCCUUUUGGCAGACUAUUGGAUAACUUUGGUAACCCCAAAGCUAAUACAUGUCAGCAAAACCCGCACAGGUCCAACCUCGGGACCUAGUCCUGGGGCUGUGUUGGGUGCAAUUGACUGAAACAAAAACCAACGCUAGCAAUAGCAGCGGUGAUUGGAUGACUCAAGUCAAUCGAGUAGUAGCGCAUACUUCGGUGGCGCUUGUCGGCAUGACAAUCUGCCCUAUCAGCUUUUGACGGUAGUGUAGUGGACUACCGUGGCAGUAACGGGUAACGGGGAAUUAGGGUUCGAUUCCGGAGAGGGAGCCUGAGAAACGGCUACCACAACUAAGGUUGGCAGCAGGCGCGCAAAUUGCCCAAUAGCAACACAUCGCUGAGGCAGCGAAGAGAAAUAGCAACUUCAUGCGGCCCUGCCGUGUGAAGAUUGCCAUGGACGAUAUCUAAACCUGUCGGUGAGUAUCAAUUGGUGGACAAGUCUGGUGCCAGCACCCGCGGUAAUUCCAGCACCAAUAGCGUAUAUUAAUGCUGCUAGCACCAAUAGCGUAUAUUAAUGCUGCUGCUGUUAAAAAGCUCGUAGUUGGAUCAAGAGUUGGACAGUGCACGGCGGCCCCGUUGGUCUGGUUUGGUUCCGAUCAAGCCAGCCGCGGCGGAAUCACCCCGUGCGCCAAACUGUCCACUCUAACAGGCCGAAACGGUUCCCUGUGAUUCAUUGGGGUCGAAAGCGCCUACGCAUCAACCAUAUGCAUACGGGACGUCGGUCAGCGUUACUGUGAACAAACCAGCGUGUCCAAAGCAGGCUUUCGCCUGAAUGUUCGAGCAUGGAAUAACAAGGGAUCGAUUCUCUCGGUUCUUUUUGUUGGUUUUUAACCCGAGAAGGAGUAAUUCAGGCCACGGUGUCUGAGUUGGGUUUCCCUGGGCUUCGGCUCAGGCCCCAAUUAGGCCGUGUCCUUACGGGAUCAAUAGGGACUGACGGGGUCGUACCUACUUCCGCGUCAGAGGUGAAAUUCUUAGAUCGUGGGAAGACGAACUUCUGCGAAAGCAUUCGACAAGAAUGUCUUCAUUAAUCAAGAACGAGAGUGUGGGGAUCGAAGAUGAUCAGAUACCGUCGUAGUCCACUACUGUAAACAAUGCCGUCUCAGGAUUGAGAAGUGAACAGAAUGACUUUCACAGCACUAACCCCUGAAACGAGAAAUCAAAGAUUAUGGGUUCAGGGGGGAGUACAUUCGCAAGGCUGAAACUUAAAGGAAUUGACGGAAUGACACCACAAGGCGUGGAGUAUGCGGCUUAAUUUGACUCAACACGGGGAAUUUUACUAGGUCAGGACAAUGUAAGGAUUGACAGAUUGAGAGCUCUUUCUCGAUCCAUUGUGUGGUGGUGCAUGGCCGCUCCUGGUUGGUGGAGUGAUUUGUCUGGUUAAUUCCGUUAACGAACGAGAUCUCGACCCUUAAAUAGGUGUGCAUGUCGAUUGUAG